CACGCGGGGGUAGAGCCCGAAAAACGGCGAGUGAAGCGGCAAAAGCUCAAAUUUGAAAUCUGGCACCUUCGGUGUCCGAGUUGUAAUUUGAAGAAGGUAACUUUGGAGUUGGCUCUUGUCUAUGUUCCUUGGAACAGGACGUCACAGAGGGUGAGAAUCCCGUGCGAUGAGAUGCCCAAUUCUAUGUAAAGUGCUUUCGAAGAGUCGAGUUGUUUGGGAAUGCAGCUCUAAGUGGGUGGUAAAUUCCAUCUAAAGCUAAAUAUUGGCGAGAGACCGAUAGCGAACAAGUACAGUGAUGGAAAGAUGAAAAGAACUUUGAAAAGAGAGUGAAAAAGUACGUGAAAUUGUUGAAAGGGAAGGGCUUGAGAUCAGACUUGGUAUUUUGCGAUCCUUUCCUUCUUGGUUGGGUUCCUCGCAGCUUACUGGGCCAGCAUCGGUUUGGAUGGUAGGAUAAUGACUAAGGAAUGUGGCUCUACUUCGGUGGAGUGUUAUAGCCUUGGUUGAUACUGCCUGUCUAGACCGAGGACUGCGUCUUUUGACUAGGAUGUUGGCAUAAUGAUCUUAAGCCACCCGUCUUGAAAACGGGAACCAAAANNA
rnacentral:rRNA from 1 species